GUAGUCCACGCCCUAAACGAUGUCAACUAGUUGUUCGUAGAGGUAACUCUGUGAGUAACGCAGCUAACGCGUGAAGUUGACCGCCUGGGGAGUACGGCCGCAAGGUUAAAACUCAAAGGAAUUGACGGGGACCCGCACAAGCGGUGGAUGAUGUGGAUUAAUUCGAUGCAACGCGAAAAACCUUACCUACCCUUGACAUGUCUGGAAUCCUUGAGAGAUCAGGGAGUGCCUUCGGGAACCAGAACACAGGUGCUGCAUGGCUGUCGUCAGCUCGUGUCGUGAGAUGUUGGGUUAAGUCCCGCAACGAGCGCAACCCUUGUCAUUAGUUGCCAUCAUUUAGUUGGGCACUCUAAUGAGACUGCCGGUGACAAACCGGA
rnacentral:rRNA from 1 species